rnacentral:rRNA from 1 species
UAUCCGCGGCUAGACGGAAAGUCCCCGUGAACCUUUACUAUAGCUUCACACGGGACUUUGACCUUAUUUGUGUAGGAUAGCUGGGAGGCUUUGAAGCAGUGGCGCUAGCCAUUGUGGAGCCGUCCUUGAAAUACCAGCCUGGUAAUGUUGAGGUUCUAACUCAGGUCCCUGAUCGGGAUCGAGGACAGUGUGUGGUGGGUAGUUUGACUGGG